AACCUUAUGGACCUGCGGGCGUAUACCUGCGGAGGGAUCAUUACAGAGUUGCAAAACUCCCUAAACCAUUGUGAACGUUACCUAAACCGUUGCUUCGGCGGGCGGCCCGGGUCCUUCCCGGCGCCCCUCGGCCCUCGCGGGCGCCCGCCGGAGGUAAACCAAACUAUUGCAUUGUAUGGCCUCUCUGAGUCUUCUGUACUGAAUAAGUCAAAACUUUCAACAAUGGAUCUCAGAUCGGAA
rnacentral:misc_RNA from 1 species